rnacentral:rRNA from 1 species
CCUACGGGUGGCUGCAGUCGAGAAUCAUUCACAAUGGGGGAAACCCUGAUGGUGCGACGCCGCGUGGGGGAAUGAAGGUCUUCGGAUUGUAAACCCCUGUCAUGUGGGAGCAAAUUAAAAAGAUAGUACCACAAGAGGAAGAGACGGCUAACUCUGUGCCAGCAGCCGCGGUAAUACAGAGGUCUCAAGCGUUGUUCGGAAUCACUGGGCGUAAAGCGUGCGUAGGCUGUUUCGUAAGUCGUGUGUGAAAGGCGCGGGCUCAACCCGCGGACGGCACAUGAUACUGCGAGACUAGAGUAAGGGAGGGGGAACCGGAAUUCUCGGUGUAGCAGUGAAAUGCGUAGAUAUCGAGAGGAACACUCGUGGCGAAGGCGGGUUCCUGGACAGUAACUGACGCUGAGGCACGAAGGCCAGGGGAGCGAAAGGGAUUAGAUACCCGAGUAGUC